CUGGGUUGCUUACUUGGAAGUUUGACUGCUUACCUUGUCUGUCACCUCUUUCGGCAGAUCUCCUAGCUCGGCGACUUGGGGGACUCCUACUAUAGGGUUUGUAUCACACUUGACUAAGCUCGAAACUACAACUAAGCUUCAAGUGAAAUUGAUACAUUACCUUGUGCGUCAACAUCAGCUAAAUACACCAUUCCCGGAUGGAGGAAAGGUACUUCCAGAGAAGAGCAGAUGAAGAUCAGACCACACUUCGGUACUUAGAAGU
rnacentral:lncRNA from 1 species